GACAGAGGAGCCAAGCGUUGUUCGGAAUCACUGGGCGUAAAGCGCACGUAGGCGGAUUUGUUAGUCAGGGGUGAAAUCCCGGGGCUCAACCUCGGAACUGCCUUUGAUACUGCAAAUCUCGAGUCCGGAAGAGGUGGGUGGAAUUCCUAGUGUAGAGGUGAAAUUCGUAGAUAUUAGGAAGAACACCGGUGGCGAAGGCGGCCCACUGGUCCGGUACUGACGCUGAGGUGCGAAAGCGUGGGGAGCAAACAGG
rnacentral:rRNA from 1 species